rfam:Streptomyces atratus strain OK807 genome assembly, contig: Ga0007934_1031
AAUUCGUAUCCACUCAUCGCGUGGCAGGAGCGGGGGAACCAGGUAAGUCGCCGACCGGAGAAAUCCGGCCGGCUCGGGGUGAAGUCGCACUCGGUGCGGCCGGGCAUCUCCAGCCCGAACCCGACAGCUCACCUCGCAGGCGCCGGAGAGGAAAUAC